UCGGACGUGGUGCAUGGUGCACGCCCGUGGGUAAUGGGGAAAUGGUAUGAUUAGUCAACAAAGCGGGAGACCUGGGUUCGACUCCCAGCGUCCGAA